GUUGAACGCUGGCGGCAUGCCUUACACAUGCAAGUCGAACGGUAACAGGUCUUCGGAUGCUGACGAGUGGCGAACGGGUGAGUAAUACAUCGGAACGUGCCUAGUAGUGGGGAUAACUACUCGAAAGAGUGGCUAAUACCGCAUGAGAUCUACGGAUGAAAGCAGGGGAUCGCAAGACCUUGUGCUACUAGAGCGGCCGAUGGCAGAUUAGGUAGUUGGUGGGAUAAAAGCUUACCAAGCCGACGAUCUGUAGCUGGUCUGAGAGGACGAGCAGCCACACUGGGACUGAGACACGGCCCAGACUCCUACGGGAGGCAGCAGUGGGGAAUUUUGGACAAUGGGCGCAAGCCUGAUCCAGCAAUGCCGCGUGCAGGAUGAAGGCCUUCGGGUUGUAAACUGCUUUUGUACGGAACGAAAAGCCCUGGGUUAAUACCCUGGGGUCAUGACGGUACCGUAAGAAUAAGCACCGGCUAACUACGUGCCAGCCGCCGCCGUAACAC
rnacentral:rRNA from 1 species